CAUUAAGAAGCUAAACUAGCGUUAACCUUUUAAGUUAAAAACUGGGAGUUUAGACCUCCCCUUAAUGG
ensembl:Mt_tRNA